rnacentral:lncRNA from 1 species
ACGGCUAAGGCCAUUUUUGGGCCUUGUGGGCCACACGGGCGUGUGGGCUCAUAUGGGCAAAUGACAUGGGCCUAUGGGCUUAUUUUUCACUGUUAAACUGCUAAGGUUGCACGGGUCUUCCGAGACGACUGUGAACCUACUGUUAGGUCAGUAAGUGUAUUUGGACCCCUGAUUGACUAAAAUGAUUGUUAUACCCUUAUAUGAUAUAAACAUCUGUAUGGUUGUAUAUGAGGCAUGCUGCUAAAACUAUACUGAAUGCAUGUAUAAUACUAUGAUUUGGCAUGACAUGUUGUAUAUUGCAUUGCAUUGGGCUGGGGAUUAUAUUAUUCGGAGCUGUAUAUUACUAUUUAGUGCGGCAUUCGGUACUACUUGGACUAUAGGGUUAGGUGGGUUGAUUAUAUCCUCACAUGGAGUGCAGGGUUGGAUGGAGAUGGUGUGUAGAGGCUGGUUAGGUAGGAUUCUUGUGAUUGCAUAUAUAUGAUUGUUACUGUACUAUACUAAGAUGGGCUAAGGCCCAAACUGGACUGAUAUUGUUACUGAAAAAGGGGUUACGCCCAGACUGAGUUUUCAUAAACUCACCCCUUUCGUUUAAUUGUGCAGGUAAUCUCCAAACAUAGGUGGAUCGGUGCAGCGAGGGACUCAAAGGUGGCCACACAACCGCAUAUAUUUUCAUAUUUGAUUAUGAUUAUAAGUAUUAUUAUUUGGGGUAUUUUUACUGUAAUAAGGCCUUUAUGGAUUUUUACUUUAAUUUGGGAUUUGUUUAUCGUUGCUUAUGAUUCGUAAUCACUAGUGGUAGGGAAACAUUGGG